GACGGCUUUAUUAUUUAACAAGAUUCACCUAUGUACACUUGUUCUUCGAUAACAUCUUUUUAUUUUCAUUCGAUUCGGCACGAUUAUUGUUCAGGAAAGGCUUGAAAUGGAAGCAAUCGAUCCCGUGAGCACCCUGGGUUUUACUGCACGCACUGGGGCGUGGUGUUACCCUUGACUGACGCCACUUGUCUCCUCCCAACGUUUUGUUUCAGCGUAAUGGCACGGUACGAUACUACAUAAAAAAAAGGCUGAUUGACCAGCAACCGUAAGGUCCACGCUUCUUAACGACUCGUGAAUGGUUUAAAUCAACCCCCAGCAAGAAGGUAACUUUGAAACAUAUCCACGUCUUAUACAAAUUAUAGAACUCAAGCCAUCCAUCAUGAAGCUGAUAUAGGACGCUUUCCGUGUGAGAGCGCUAAAAGCGUUCCAACCCGCUUUUGUUCGUGCAAUGCCUACUCACGUUCCCGUGCCACGCAUUACGCCAAUAAGCUUAACAAUGUCUUUCAUUGAUCUCGAGCAAUUUAGUUCGCCAAGGACUGCGAACAAUGCGUUUUUCAUACCACCCUCACAAUGAACGAUUUGAAUUUUGCGCUUUCAUUAUUCAAUCAUUUUUACAGAGGUAAGAACAAACGAUAAAAUUUAGAAGUAAAUGAAAUGACCAUGACUAUCUCUUUCAUUUUCCAAAUGUUUAUCAAGUAAUGGGAGGAUAAAGCGAAAAGCAAAUGCUGGCAUUUAUCAGAGAGACGUGACAAAUGCCCGAUCGAUGAACGGAAUCUUGCCCGUGUGAGUGGUUGGUGUAGCGGGACUGCUGCGGUCAGUGUUCGCUGUCGUCGCGCCUCUGAUUGAACUGCCGACCAAAAGAGAAAAAAGGGCUGUUUGGAUGGCCAGAUGGAUGGGCUUUUCCCCUCCACUUUUGCUUGGAUGCUCAAUGGCUAAUGGUGUCGACUCUCGUGUCCAUCUAAACCAAUCUAAUCUAUAGCUCUAAAUAGUUGAGCAAAUUCUCGUCAGGAAAGACAAAGACAGAUACCAACACUAGUCGAAAGGAAUAAAUUGUAAAAAGGAAUAGUAAGGGAUCCCACCCCACCACUUUGUUGAGUGUUGCUGUAACUGUCGAAACCAGCUGAUUUCUCUGCAUUCUUCAACCAACCGUAAGAAUGGGGAUUACAAAUCGUGCCUUGAUUAAAUCUCUAAAAAACACUGUACAAUGACACCGUCUUCCUCUGUGAACUCUUAGCUGAAAUCACAUCGCUUAUGCCUUAGAAAGUCUUUGAGUACGAUGAAGGAAUGAACAUUCUUCUCUUAUUCAAAUGAAACCUAGGGCGUUCCCAUUUCAUCUCCUCCAUCCGGAUUACAUCAGAUUUUCAAUUGCAUCCAAAAGAAAUGCGAUGCUGACAUUUGAGAAUGAUUGUUAAGAGGGAAAGAAAGCAACAAGGUCGCAGCUGGUGUCUGUCUGCAUAUCAGCAAUAGCCCCGUGCCCAUGGCCCGUCCACGUGAACAGUUGUCACCAGCUGGUAGAUGUCCAAUAUUAAACUAUGUGGCGUGGUAAAUAAUGCGCCUUCUGAUACACAUCGUCUCGAAGGAUGGACAGGAUCAAAAAGAUUGUUCACAGUAGAUGGAGUAACGAACGUGGGACACUAUCAUCAUGGUCGAGGGCGCUGGCUGGUGGAACAAUCGUUUUCUUAAUAGAUAUAGUUUUCUUUUUUAGAGUUUGGCGUCGUCCAUCAAGACCAAAAGAAAAAAACAUAAGUCACAAAAGCCAAAAGUUGGUUGUGUGUUUAGAAAAAAAGAGUUUCGCGUGAGUCGGUCCCGCUCUUAAUGGUUGUAUGGGCCAUUAAAGAAAGCGUUCUGUUUGAAUGAACAGAACUGUGCCAUUGAAAACCAACUUUUUGUCAUGUUCUCCUUCAUCUUUUCUCAAUUCAUCACGCUGUCUUUUGAUGUUUAUACACCCUCAUUGUAAUAAUAAAAGGAAAAUCAGUCUACUAA